rnacentral:piRNA from 1 species
UCCAGGAACUCCCUUGUGGUCGUAUCAGCA